GAGUUUGAUCCUGGCUCAGGAUGAACGCUGGCGGCGUGCCUAACACAUGCAAGUCGAACGAAGCACUGAGAGUUUGAGAUUUCGGUCAAGAACUUUCUUUGACUUAGUGGCGGACGGGUGAGUAAUGCGUGAGCAACCUGCCUUUCAGAGGGGGACAACAGUUGGAAACGACUGCUAAUACCGCAUGAUAUAUUCGGAUGGCAUCGUCUGAAUAUCAAAGAUUUAUCGCUGAAAGAUGGGCCCACGUCUGAUUAGUUAGUUGGUGAGGUAACGGCUCACCAAGACUGCGAUCAGUAGCCGGACUGAGAGGUUGAACGGCCACAUUGGGACUGAGAUACGGCCCAGACUCCUACGGGAGGCAGCAGUGGGGAAUAUUGGGCAAUGGGCGAAAGCCUGACCCAGCAACGCCGCGUGAAGGAAGAAGGUCUUCGGAUUGUAAACUUCUUUUAUCAGGGACGAAGUAAGUGACGGUACCUGAUGAAUAAGCCACGGCUAACUACGUGCCAGCCGCCGCGGUAAUUC
rnacentral:rRNA from 1 species